rnacentral:rRNA from 1 species
UGGGGAAUUUUGGACAAUGGGCGCAAGCCUGAUCCAGCCAUGCCGCGUGCGGGAAGAAGGCCUUCGGGUUGUAAAGCACUUUUGUCCGGAAAGAAAUCCUUGGCUCUAAUACAGUCGGGGGAUGACGGUACCGGAAGAAUAAGCACCGGCUAACUACGUGCCAGCAGCCGCGGUAAUACGUAGGGUGCAAGCGUUAAUCGGAAUUACUGGGCGUAAAGCGUGCGCAGGCGGUUUGCUAAGACCGAUGUGAAAUCCCCGGGCUCAACCUGGGAACUGCAUUGGUGACUGGCAGGCUAGAGUAUGGCAGAGGGGGGUAGAAUUCCACGUGUAGCAGUGAAAUGCGUAGAGAUGUGGAGGAAUACCGAUGGCGAAGGCAGCCCCCUGGGCCAAUACUGACGCUCAUGCACGAAAAGCGUGGGGAGCAAACAGGAUUAGAUACCCUGGUAGUCCACGCCCUAAAACGAUGUCAACUAGUUGUUGGGGAUUCAUUUCCUUAGUAACGUAGCUAACGCGUGAAGUUGACCGCCUGGGGAGUACGGUCGCAAGAUUAAAACUUAAAUGAAUUGACGGGGUCAUAGCUGUUUCCU